UGCUUGAUUUUUUUAAUGUAAAUAAUUUUUAUAAUUAUAAAUUUUUAAUAGAGAUAACUUUUUUUUUAGUAUUUUUAAAAGAAAUAAUUUAUUAAUAUUAAUAGUUUAUUUAACUGUGAAGGUUAAAUAUUAUAGGGAUUUACAGUAGAAUUUAUUUUUUGUACCUUUUGUAUCAGGGUUUAUCAAAUACUUACUAUUUAUCUAUAGUUUUCCCGAAUUUAGAAGAUUUAUUAUAUAUUGUUAUUCAAUGUUAUAUAAUUGUUAAUAAAUGUAUAAUAGAUGUUAUAUGCUAUUCAUUUUUAAUUAUCUGGUUUCUUAAUAAAUGAAUAUAAUUCAUUAAUACCUAACUCCAACUGAUCAAUUUAUUUUGUUUGUAUAUAGGUAUUUUAAAAUUAAAGGGGAUAAGCUCUUUAGUUGUUUUAUAAAUCAUUAAAUUUUAAAAUUUAUGUAGGAUUAGAAAUUUUCAUCAUUUAUUUUGUUAUAAUAAAAGUUUAAUUAAUAUUUUAUUUAUUUUGGUUUUAAAUAUUUAUUAGGAAUUAUCAUUUAAUCUUUAAAUGAUAGUUAUAAUGAUAAAAUUAGUAUAUUUUCUGGAAUUAAUAUAUAGUAACUCGGCAAAUUUAUUCUUCACCUGUUUAACAAAAACAUGUCUUGAUGAUUUUUAUUUAUUAAGUCUAUCCUGCUCAAUGAUUUAUUAUUAAAUAGCCGCAGUAUCUUGACUGUGCGAAGGUAGCAUAAUCAUUUGUCUUUUAAUUAAAGGCUUGUAUGAAUGGUUGGAUGAGGGAAUUACUUUCUUUAUAUUAAAAAUAGAAUUUAAUUUUUAAGUUAAAAAGCUUAAAUUUUUAAGUGGGACGAGAAGACCCUAUAGAAUUUUAUUAUAAGUUUUAUAUUUAAUUUAUGGUUAUUUUUAUUAUUUAUGUAUCUUAUAAUUUUAUUGGGGUGAUAUUGAGAUUAAAAAAACUCUCAUAACUUAAUAUUUAAUUAUUUUUAUUUUGUUAGGAUCCUAUUUUAUGGAUAUUUAGAUUAAAUUACCUUAGGGAUAACAGCGUAAUUUUUCUGGAGAGUUCUUAUCGAUGGAAAAGUUUGCGACCUCGAUGUUGGAUUAAAAUUAGAUUUAAGUGCAGAAGCUUAAAGUUCUAGGUCUGUUCGACCUUUAAAUUUUUACAUGAUCUGAGUUCAGACCGGCGUGAGCCAGGUCGGUUUCUAUCUUCUUAAUAAUUAAUAUAAAUUAGCACGAAAGGACCAUUUAUAUCAAAUAAUUUGUUUAGUAUUUGAAUAAUUUUAAA
rnacentral:rRNA from 1 species